rnacentral:rRNA from 1 species
GAAACUUUCAGCGUUGAUUCCGGGAGAGGUAGGUGAAAUCCAAGUUUAAUGGUAAAGUGGGAAAAUUUCGAGAGGAACACCAAUGGCGGUGGCAGCAUACUGGCCCUGUAUUUACGCUCAGGCGGGAGAGCAGGGAGAGCGAACGGGAUAAGAUGCCCCGGUAGUGCAUGCCGUUAAACGAUGGGUACUAGGUGUUGGGGGAGUCUCUCCCCGCAGUGCCGCAGCUAAUGCAUCGAGUACCCCACCUCGGGAGUACGAUCGCAAGCUUGUAACUCAAAGAGAGUGACGGGGGCCCGCACAAGCGGUGGAGCAUGUGGUUUAAUUCGAUGCACCGCGAAGACCCUUCCCUGGGCUUGACAUGCAGGGGACAGGUGUAGAAAUACAUCCUUCGUCGGACGCCUGUACAGGUGCUACAUGGCUGUCGUCAGCUCGUGUCGUGAAAUGUGGGCUUAAGUCCCGCAACGAGCGCAACCCCUGUCUUCAGUUGCCAUCAGUUCGGCUGGGGACUCUGGAGAGACUGCCGGUGACAAACCGGAGGAAGGUGGGGACGACGUCAAGUCAGCAUGGCCCUUACGCCCAGGGCUACACCCGUGCUACAAUGGUCGGUACAAAGGGCAGCAAUGCCGUGAGGUGGAGGGAAUCCCAAAAAGCCGGCCUCAGUUCGAAUGGCAGUCGGCAACUCGACUGCAAGAAGUAGGAAUCGCUAGUAAUCGCGUAUCAGAACGACGCGGUGAAUGCGUUCCCGGGCCUUGUACACACCACCCGUCAAGUCAACCGAGUUGGUUGCACCCCAAGUCGAUGAGCUAGCCCGUAAGGGAGGCAGGGGCCCAAGGUGUGAUUAGCGAGGGGGACU